rnacentral:lncRNA from 1 species
GCAGAAUUGCUAGAGAUGUGAAUUGUGCUUAAACUGGCAGAUGGAAUGUAGGGGAUGUGUUGCAGCGCUUGUUCUUGCUCAUGUCUUGCCUACACUUGACCCUCUACUGACAAUUUCAUAAGCACGCCUUCCGAUCCUCCUUCCCUGCAUGCAGUGUGCGCUCUUGGAAUCCUGACYUGUCUCCAGAUUUUUUUAACAUUGACAAGUGUGCAGC